rnacentral:rRNA from 1 species
GUGUCAGCCGCCGCGGUAAUACCUGGGGAGCAAGCGUUGUCCGGAUUCAUUGGGCGUAAAGGGCUCGUAGGUGGGUUGACCAGUCGAAAUUGAAAUACAAUGGCUUAGCCAUUGAAACGGUUUCGAUACUAUCAAUCUUGAGUGAAGUAGAGGUAAGCGGAAUUCCUGGUGUAGCGGUGAAAUGCGUAGAUAUCAGGAGGAACAUCAAAGGCGAAGGCAGCUUACUGGAUUUAUACUGACACUGAGGAGCGAAAGCGUGGGUAGCGAACAGGAUUAGAGACCCUGGUAGUCCACGCCGUAAACGAUGAGCACUAGGUGGUGGGGGAUUCGACCCCUUCACUGCUGCAGCUAACGCAUUAAGUGCUCCGCCUGGGGACUACGAUCGCAAGAUUGAAACUCAAAGGAAUUGACGGGGACCCGCACAAGCGGUGGAUUAUGUGGUUUAAUUCGAUGCAACGCGAAGAACCUUACCUAGACUUGACAUAUUAGUGAAAUUUCGGUGAAAGCAGAAACCUCUAUGGGCUUGCCUAUAGACACUAUCACAGGUGAUGCAUGGCUGUCGUCAGCUCGUGUCGUGAGAUGUUCGGUUAAGUCCGAUAACGAGCGCAACCCUUAUCCUUAGUUGCCAGCACGUAAUGGUGGGGACUCUAAGGAAACUGCCCGGGAUAACCGGAAGGAAGGUGGGGUCGACGUCAAGUCAGUAUGUCCCUUACGUCUAGGGCUACACACGUAAUACAAUGGAGGGUACAGAGGGUAGCUAAGCUGCAAAGUGGUGCCAAUCCCAAAAAACCUUCCCAAGUUCGGAUUGCAGUCUGCAACUCGACUGCAUGAAGCAGGAAUCGCUAGUAAUCGCGCAUCAGCAUGGCGCGGUGAAUACGUUCCCGGGUCUUGUACACACCGCCCGUC